rnacentral:rRNA from 1 species
CGCGUAGGCGGAUAUAUAAGUCAGAUGUGAAAUUCCGAAGCUCAACUUCGGAGCUGCAUUUGAAACUAUAAAUCUCGAGGAUUGACGGAGAAAACGGAAUUCCACGUGUAGCGGUGAAAUGCGUAGAUAUGUGGAAGAACACCGGUGGCGAAAGCGGUUUUCUAGUUUAUACCUGACGCUGAGGCGCGAGAGCAAGGGAGCAAACA